rnacentral:rRNA from 1 species
AUUGAACGCUGGCGGCAUGCCUUACACAUGCAAGUCGAACGGCAGCGGGGGAGAAGCUUGCUUUUCCUGCCGGCGAGUGGCGAACGGGUGAGUAAUACAUCGGAACGUGCCCUGUAGUGGGGGAUAACUAGUCGAAAGAUUAGCUAAUACCGCAUACGACCUGAGGGUGAAAGUGGGGGACCGCAAGGCCUCAUGCUAUAGGAGCGGCCGAUGUCUGAUUAGCUAGUUGGUGGGGUAAAGGCCUACCAAGGCGACGAUCAGUAGCUGGUCUGAGAGGACGAUCAGCCACACUGGGACUGAGACACGGCCCAGACUACUACGGGAGGGAGCAGUGGGGAAUUUUGGACAAUGGGCGAAAGCCUGAUCCAGCAAUGCCGCGUGUGUGAAGAAGGCCUUCGGGUUGUAAAGCACUUUUGUCCGGAAAGAAAUGGCUCUGGUUAAUACCUGGGGUCGAUGACGGUACCGGAAGAAUAAGGACCGGCUAACUACGUGCCAGCAGCCGCCGUAA